GGAAAAAAAGAAAAAAACCAAGCCAAAACCAACAAAAAAAACCCAGCCACUCAGUUUGUUCUUUAUUUUAGUGGACUUAAUCCUAUUUGUUUAACUAGAAAGGGAGAUUAACCGAAACGCUGUGUUACAGACCCCAGCAAUCCUUUCGAGUUUAGAUCUUGGGCCUUUCUCAGAUCAGUGCUUUUUCCCCAGACAGGGUUGUUUGGGGAUUCUUGUUUGUUUGAAUCCACAGCCUGAGAACAGGGCAGAAGUGCCUGCCCGCACCGUCCGACGUACGCGGGCACAGGCUGUAGCGCGGUUCCCGAAGCCCCAGCCUCCCCGCAGCUGGUUCGGCACCAAGCUGUGACUUGGCACGCCAUCUCCCGGAGCCGGCAACGGGAAUGGGAGGUGCCCACCCGUCCCGAUGGAGGAGAGCCCUCCUCUCGCGGCGGCGGGGAGGUGAUGGAGAGCAGCGUGCUCCCCGCAGCCCGCUCCCUGCUGCCCGCUCUGCCACGGGGGGCAUGCGGUAGGUGCCGCAUCCCUGGGGAACUGCUCGGGGAGGAUUAUUCAGAGCUUUCACGUUUUGCAGUGUACAUUCCAAGUAAAUCCCUCUGCCUUA